rnacentral:rRNA from 1 species
ACGGGGAGGGCAAGCGUUGUUCGGAAUUACUGGGCGUAAAGAGCUCGUAGGCGGUUUGGCAAGUCGGGUGUGAAAACUCCGGGCUCAACUCGGAGACGCCACUCGAUACUGCCAUGACUCGAGUCCGGUAGGGGAGUGCGGAAUUCCUGGUGUAGCGGUGAAAUGCGUAGAGAUCGGGAAGAACAUCGGUGGCGAAGGCGGCCUGCUGGGCUCUUGCUGACACUGAGGCGCGACAGCGUGGGGAGCAAACAGGA